GUAUAUGGGUAUUAAGUAUGAUUUAAGUUGUUUUAGGGCCAAGAAACUUGUUUAUAUGGUUGGGUUGAGUUUUGAAACUUUAGAGUGAGUUUGGAUGUUGAUGGGAGAAGGAUUUUGCAGGUUUUUAACUUGAAAAUUCUAAAAAUUUCUAAGUUCAGCUGCUGAAAAUCAAAGGUUUGGUAGUUGAAGCAUGCAAUUUCUCGAAAAAUCUGGAACUUUUCUAGGUUCGUUAGCUAAAAUCCCAGACUUCAAUAGCAUCA
rnacentral:misc_RNA from 1 species